rnacentral:rRNA from 1 species
GACGAACGCUGGCCGCGUGCCUAAUACAUGCAAGUCGUGCGGACCUUGUUGAAAGCUUGCUUUUAAAAGGUUAGCGGCGGACGGGUGAGUAACACGUGGGCAACCUGCCUGUAAGACUGGGAUAACGCCGGGAAACCGGGGCUACUACCAGAUCGUUUUUUCCUCCGCAUGGAGGAAAAAGGAAAGGCGGCUUCGGCUGCCACUUACAGAUGGGCCCGCGGCGCAUUAGCUAGUUGGCGGGGUAAUGGACCACCAAGGCAACGAUGCGUAGCCGACCUGAGAGGGUGAUCGGCCACAUUGGGACUGAGACACGGCCCAAACUCCUACGGGAGGCAGCAGUAGGGAAUCUUCCGCAAUGGACGAAAGUCUGACGGAGCAACGCCGCGAGAGUGAAGAAGGCCGUCGGGUCGUAAAACUCUGUUGCCGGGGAAGAACAAGUGCCGUUCGAACAGGGCGGCGCCUUGACGGUACCCGGCCAGAAAGCCACGGCUAACUACGUG